AACGAACGCUGGCGGCAUGCCUAACACAUGCAAGUCGAACGAGACCUUCGGGUCUAGUGGCGCACGGGUGCGUAACGCGUGGGAACCUGCCCUUAGGUUCGGAAUAACUCCCCGAAAGGGGUGCUAAUACCGGAUAAUGUCUUCGGACCAAAGAUUUAUCGCCUUUGGAUGGGCCCGCGUUGGAUUAGCUAGUUGGUAGGGUAAAAGCCUACCAAGGCGACGAUCCAUAGCUGGUCUGAGAGGAUGAUCAGCCACACUGGGACUGAGACACGGCCCAGACUCCUACGGGAGGCAGCAGUGGGGAAUAUUGGACAAUGGGCGAAAGCCUGAUCCAGCAAUGCCGCGUGAGUGAUGAAGGCCUUAGGGUUGUAAAGCUCUUUUACCUGGGAUGAUAAUGACAGUACCUGGAGAAUAAGCUCCGGCUAACUCCGUG
rnacentral:rRNA from 1 species